GUCAAAAGUGCUAGGCGCCCUUAAACAUUGGUCACAAUUUAUUUUUUGAAGAAAACUGAAGGAUGGUUUUCUCCAGUGUUGUCAAAAGCGCUAGGCCGCCCUUAAGGUGAGAAGGUUCUCCAUCACCCAAGGCGCUAAGUGCUCGCUUAAGUGAAGUGAAGUGCUAAUUUUCUCUAAAAUAAUAAAUAAUUAAAUACAAAUGUCUAAUUUAUUACACAAUCAAUAAAUUGCCA
rnacentral:misc_RNA from 1 species